GUUGAGUGGGAAUAGGCUAGUAAAUCAAUUUGGAGUGUUGACGCUGAUUUAGCAACACUUUGUUACUGUAAAACUAGCAUAAUUUCAAUUAAAUACAAAUCGUGCCCCACCAAAUACCCCACCAAGAAUUUCGGUGGGGUAUUGUUU
rnacentral:sRNA from 1 species